AUGUGAAUGAUCUAGAUAUUUUGUUAAAAUGCAGCUUCUGAACCAGUAAGUCAUGGUAGAACAUGAGAUUUUUCACUUCUAAUAAGUUCUCAGGUGAUGCUGAU
rnacentral:pre_miRNA from 1 species